rnacentral:rRNA from 1 species
UACGAAGGGGGCUAGCGUUGCUCGGAAUCACUGGGCGUAAAGCGCACGUAGGCGGAUUGCUAAGUCAGGGGUGAAAUCCUGGAGCUCAACUCCAGAACUGCCUUUGAUACUGACGAUCUUGAGUUCGGGAGAGGUGAGUGGAACUGCGAGUGUAGAGGUGAAAUUCGUAGAUAUUCGCAAGAACACCAGUGGCGAAGGCGGCUCACUGGCCCGAUACUGACGCUGAGGCACGAAAGCGUGGGAGCAACAGG